UACGAGGGAUCCUAGCGUUGUUCGGAAUCAUUGGGCGUAAAGGGUGUGUAGGUGGUCAGAUUAGUCUUGUGUUAAAUUCUUCGGCUUAACCGGGGGCAUGCAUAGGAAACGGUCUGACUUGAGGAUGCGAGAGGUGUGUGGAACUCGAUGGUGUAGGGGUGAAAUCCGUUGAUAUCAUGGGGAACACCAAAAGCGAAAGGCAG
rnacentral:rRNA from 1 species